UAACUUUUGAAAUUGUAAAAAACAAAAACUUUAAUUUUAAGGCUAAAAUUGUUAGAGAGAGAGAAAGAUUAAAAAAGCAAUAUUGGCAUAAGAAGUCAGCCAUAAUUUUUUAUUAUAAUUGCUUUAAUAUUUAUAAGUAGGCUACGCGCUCUAACAAACAUUCCGGAAGCAUUUUGUCAUCAUGUGACAAGAAAAACAAAGAAGAACCAUUUAAGACCACCAUGACUUGAUUGUGUCGAGUUUAAAGGUAAUAGGCCUACUUAUUAUUAUUUAAUAUUUGCAAGCUUUAUUCAAACGAAGUAGGCCUAGGCACUAAGUCCUAAGACAACUUUAUGAUAUUAAUGAGUUUUUUUUUUAAACGAUCGUAUUAUUAUUUAUUUUAAAUUGAGAUUAAAAAUUAUUCCUUGGAUUCACAGUAGCCUACAAGGAACGUAUUUAAAAACUUGAAAUUAAAUGAAUGGUUACACCACUGGACAUUUUCAAGUCUUUUUGUAAAAAAAUAAAUAAAAAGGAAUGUUAACUUGGAACUUGGCACACGUGUUUUAAACUAGACCUUUAAAAAUGAUUUCUCCUUUUUAUCAUCUCGAGCAUUUGUUAGUGACCCGUAUGUAUAGCGGCUCCACAGUAGAAGGUAAGCUUGAGACUCACGGGUCUGAAGGUCUGAACUGAGGAAUGUUGCGCUGCAUACCGCAACGCGCAUGCGCAGCGCAUUCAUAGGGCACUAUAUAGCAUACUGAGGCCUACAGAUUCUCUGUUCUCGUGAUCCUGGUUCAGCUCUGAGCUAGUAGCCUAGUUUUUGAAGCUUCAGAUGAGGAGUGGAGAAAAAAAGCAUCCUGUUGGAGCAUGUCGUUAACUCCAAGGCAGAAGCUGGUAUGCUUGGAAUUGCAGAGCACCAAGACUGCUUUUGGACUCAGAUAACCAAAGGGCCUACAAUAUGCUUUGCACUCAGUGUUUCUCAUAUUUGAAUGCCUGAGUCAGUCCAUUUGCGUGGUUUUUAAAGAAUGUGUCUUUAUUGAUAGCAUGCAUGUAUUGUUGUUAGAAGAUGAUUGUUUUUAAGUAGCCCAUUUAAAAUGCCAGAUGUGUUACAAAUGAUGUUUUUGAAAAAAUGUCACAUGGUGUAUUUAAUUCUAAAUGUUCAUGAUAAUUUCUUUACAAAUGCAGAUUAAAUUGUAUGAUUAAAGAUGAAAUCAUUCAAACUCAACCAUGUAAAAACCUAUUAUUAUUAUUAUUAUUAUUAUUAUUAUUAUUAUUAUUAUUAUUUUUAGCUGGAAAUCAACUAAACUGAAUUCUGCUUAAAAUUACAGCAUUUUGCCAUUCACUUUGGUUUGUUUGUAGGCUCUUCCUUGCUGUGAAGGGUCAGAUGUCACAAAGAGGUUUGCGUAUCAUGUGUUGUAGGAAACAUUUUCAAUCUCACCAUUUAGGGAUUUAAACCCCCAGUUAUUGUGUUUUGCACAGCCAUGUUAUCUUUCCCUAAUCAUGAUAAAUGCAUCUUGCAGGCGAGACCCUAUCAAUAUUGCCUCUGCUUUUUUCACUGUUUAUGGAGUAGUGCAAUAUUGCUUAUAGGGUCUUGACUUUAAGGGUAAUCUGCAAUUUCAGGAUCAUUCAGGGAUUUGAUUGUCCUUUGUCAUUUUUAUUAAAAUAUGCAAUGAUGUUAUGCCACGGCUUCACAAGAUCUCAAUCUGUGAAUCUUUUUGUGCAGAGAGAGUGGGGUUGCUGCUUUAAACAAUUUCAUUUGAAAUGCAAUAAAUAACACCUGUUUUACAUUAAAACAAAAUGGCCCACAAAUAUUUUGAUGUGGUUGUAGAUAUAGCUUUCUUUUAGCAGUGCAAACACAGCUAUUACAUUUAUACCUUUCCUAAUAUGAAUUAUAUCAUAAAGUCAGUAUCCUAUGCACAGUUGAAAAGUGAUUAAUUUUAAACCAUAUAGACCCAGGCUGGUUUAUUCAGCAAUUUAUUCAGAUACUCUAUUGUUGUAUUUGGAAGCAAAUAUUUCAGUUUUUGAUAAUGCUCAUUUUUCCUCGACAUCGUCUCAACUUCACAGGUCAAUAGAGAAAUAAAUUACUACAGCA
ensembl:lncRNA